rnacentral:lncRNA from 1 species
AGGCCCAUAUAAAUAGUGGCACUUAAUUUGUGAAGCGAAGUGAGCAAAAUACUGUACAUCAACAGAUCCACUCUCUCUUCUUGAAAUAAAAAAAAAUACUCCCAACAAUGGCUGGAGCCAAUUCGCUCACAUCUGCUUUCUGUUUCAUUAUUUUUCUUAUCACUGGUAAAUUAUUUUAUCGUAUUUAUAUGUUCUCCUUUUCUCGCAUAAGUACUUUGUUUAUUUUGCAUUUAAAAGAUUUAUAUACUACUCUAAUAUAUCACUACAUCAUAUUGAGUUUUAAGUAAUAUGUAUUUUUGGAAAUGCAGUUCAAUUGACUUAUUCUCCUCAAAAAACACAUGUAAUGGCUGCGCGAGGACUGGCACAUGCUUUAGGACUGAAAGGUUGGUUUGAAUUUCAUUGUGGUGAAUACUGUGUCUACAGUGACCAAUGUGUUGAUCCAGGAUGUGGGGUGUGUGAUCUGCUUAAUGGUGUUGGUGGUGGUUUCUUUGGCACAUGCAUUGAUCCAAAUAAUAGAUUUCCCGAGAUAAAGAACUGAAUAUUUAUAAUACUGCGUGUUAGUGCCUACUUCCAGUUUCAAUAAUCCAACAGGCCGUAUAUCAUGUUGGCAUGUGUAUUUUCUUUCUUUUAUUUAAAAGUGCCUGCUGGUACAUAUAUAAGAUUGUUGUUGCUUUGUAUCUUACCUUUAUCAAAAAGUUAUUAUUAAUAAUAAAUAAAAUAGUGCGACUACGUGCACUUCUCAGUUGGAAUUUA